rnacentral:rRNA from 1 species
AACAAAUGCCCUGCUUCCAGGAAAAGCCUCUAAGCAUCAGGUAACAUCAAAUCGUACCCCAAACCGACACAGGUGGUCAGGUAGAGAAUACCAAGGCGCUUGAGAGAACUCGGGUGAAGGAACUAGGCAAAAUGGUGCCGUAACUUCGGGAGAAGGCACGCUGACACGUAGGUGAAGUGAUUUACUCAUGGAGCUGAAGUCAGUCGAAGAUACCAGCUGGCUGCAACUGUUUAUUAAAAACACAGCACUGUGCAAACACGAAAGUGGACGUAUACGGUGUGACGCCUGCCCGGUGCCGGAAGGUUAAUUGAUGGGGUCAGCGCAAGCGAAGCUCCUGAUCGAAGCCCCGGUAAACGGCGGCCGUAACUAUAACGGUCCUAAGGUAGCGAAAUUCCUUGUCGGGUAAGUUCCGACCUGCACGAAUGGCGUAAUGAUGGCCAGGCUGUCUCCACCCGAGACUCAGUGAAAUUGAACUCGCUGUGAAGAUGCAGUGUACCCGCGGCAAGACGGAAAGACCCCGUGAACCUUUACUAUAGCUUGACACUGAACAUUGAGCCUUGAUGUGUAGGAUAGGUGGGAGGCUUUGAAGUGUGGACGCCAGUCUGCAUGGAGCCGACCUUGAAAUACCACCCUUUAAUGUUUGAUGUUCUAACGUGGACCCGUGAUCCGGGUUGCGGACAGUGUCUGGUGGGUAGUUUGACUGGGGCGGUCUCCUCCUAAAGAGUAACGGAGGAGCACGAAGGUUGGCUAAUCCUGGUCGGACAUCAGGAGGUUAGUGCAAUGGCAUAAGCCAGCUUGACUGCGAGCGUGACGGCGCGAGCAGGUGCGAAAGCAGGUCAUAGUGAUCCGGUGGUUCUGAAUGGAAGGGCCAUCGCUCAACGGAUAAAAGGUACUCCGGGGAUAACAGGCUGAUACCGCCCAAGAGUUCAUAUCGACGGCGGUGUUUGGCACCUCGAUGUCGGCUCAUCACAUCCUGGGGCUGAAGUAGGUCCCAAGGGUAUGGCUGUUCGCCAUUUAAAGUGGUACGCGAGCUGGGUUUAGAACGUCGUGAGACAGUUCGGUCCCUAUCUGCCGUGGGCGCUGGAGAACUGAGGGGGGCUGCUCCUAGUACGAGAGGACCGGAGUGGACGCAUCACUGGUGUUCGGGUUGUCAUGCCAAUGGCACUGCCCGGUAGCUAAAUGCGGAAGAGAUAAGUGCUGAAAGCAUCUAAGCACGAAACUUGCCCCGAGAUGAGUUCUCCCUGAGACUUAGAGUCUCCUGAAGGAACGUUGAAGACGACGACGUUGAUAGGCCGGGUGUGUAAGCGCAGCGAUGCGUUGAGCUAACCGGUACUAAUGAACCGUGAGGCUUAACCUUACAACGCCGAAG